rnacentral:lncRNA from 1 species
UGACGACUCUGCCAAUGGAAAUAUCUCCUGCAGCAAGUGCGACUUUAAACCCUGAAUGUGCUUUUUUUUUGUUCUUUUUUUUUUUUUUCCUUUCUCCAGUAGUCGCACUUGGAGCGAAAUUCUCCCCUGGACUUCCGGCCAGCUGUCCCAGAGGAAAGGGCUGCUCCAUGACGGCAGGAGAAGAUGAUCUGAAGCCCCAGGAAGAGCCCAUCUGCAGAGAGGGCAGCCUCCUCCAUGGCCAUGCCCUAGCAGUCCCUGUGGCUGGGGGAGAGGAGGAGGAGGACGGGUUCGGGGUCUCCUGCUGCAUGCCUGGGCUUUGAAUGUGGUGCUGUGGCUGUAUCGCAGGUCAGGAAAGCAAUGGGGAAGGUCCCUCGCUGAUGAUGAGAGCGGAUAGUGCUGCGAAUGGAAGAGCAGAUCACACGAUAUGCUCACAGCGCUUAUUUACCGAUUUCAUCCGUUUCACCGCUCUUUCGGUCCAGGGGAAGCGUCGCCGGCGCUGCCGACGCCGUGGGCUGGCUAAGGCCUCCUUCGGCCCGGAAGCAGAGCUUUUCGGCCAGCCUUUCCGCCCGCGACGCGAGCUGCGGCCCGGAGCCUGGCGUCGUCCUUUUCACAAGCGACGCUUUCCGCCAAAUAAGGACGGCGAGGCCUGGCAAACUNNNNNNNNNNNNNNNNNNNNNNNNNNNNNNNNNNNNNNNNNNNNNNNNNNNNGGGGCCCCGGCGCCCGCCUUUGCCGCCCCCUGGGUGUUGGGGUCAGCGCUUCACGGGCGCCAUGUUGCUGCUUCUUUGCCUUUGCUGCCGCUCGCAGCUCUCUCCUGUUUUUUGGGGGGCUUUUUUGAGGUUUUGUUUCCCCUCCCAAACCCAGGAGCAGCACCAGAGCGCCAUAUAUAUAAAAUGAUAUAUUAAGAAAGGACUGUGCCGUCCCAGUACAGACCCAUCGUUUCCCAGUUGAGGUGAACAGCCCGGAGCCCGCAGCUGAACCGAAGCCUUCGCCUUGUCGCUUUGAUGUCCGCCUUUCGGGGGAGAAAACCCAACUCGGAGCCCUUUUUUCACCUCCCCUCCCGGCUGCUGCUGCCGCUGCCGCCAGGUUAAACAGAAAAUUUUUGUUGUUGCUGUUGUUUUUCUCUCCGAAAUCCACUGGUUGGGAGGAAGGAGGAAGGAGUCGCAACAGCAAAACCCGCGUUGAGUCAAACUGAGAACAACUUCACGCAACCUACGCAGGAAAAACGUCUUACAUCGUUGGAGGGUUAUUUAUCCUGGGGUGUAAGCGUUUACUUCUUGGGCCGUGCCGUGCCUUUAGGCUGCUUUUUUAAAGGAAAAGCAGUGCUUCGGAAGGAAAAGCCCGAAAGUUUUGCUUCAAAACGCCUUUCUCGCACUCGGACACGUCUGAGGUCAGAACCGCUCGUCCCGACUGUUGGCCCUGAGUUGCUAAAGGGUUUUUGUCUUGCCCGGGACUUAGGUCACAGCAGCUUUACUACUGUUGGAACAAAUAAACACAAAGGAAAAAACA